rnacentral:ncRNA from 1 species
UUUAGGGGUGUCUGCGGGAUCGCAGGCUGAGAUUUACCCUUAGAACCUGAUCUAGAUCAUACUAGCGUAGGGAAAAGU